GAGCAAUGGUGAAAAAAGGUUUUACUACUGGCCUUUAUAACUAUGAAAGUUUCGACACGAGCUGAGCUCA
ensembl:snoRNA